rnacentral:rRNA from 1 species
GGGACGAACGCUGGCGGCGUGCUUAACACAUGCAAGUCGAGCGGUAAGGCCCUUUCGGGGGUACACGAGCGGCGAACGGGUGAGUAACACGUGGGUGACCUGCCCCCUACUCUGGGAUAAGCCUGGGAAACUGGGUCUAAUACCGGAUAUGACUCAAGGCUGCAUGGUUUUGGGUGGAAAGCUUUUGUGGUGGGGGAUGGGCCCGCGGCCUAUCAGCUUGUUGGUGGGGUGAUGGCCUACCAAGGCUUCGACGGGUA